rfam:Candidatus Marinimicrobia bacterium TMED80 19021, whole genome shotgun sequence.
GCGCCCGUAGCUCAGUAGGAUCAGAGCGUAUGCCUCCGGAGCAUAAGGUCACAGGUUCGAAUCCUGUCGGGCGUA